rnacentral:rRNA from 1 species
AUGAAACAGCCGCCUAGUUUCUCUGAUCCUGAUUGUCCUGACUAUAUCUGUCGUCUUUCCAAAGCACUAUAUGGUUUGAAGCAAGCUCCUCGUGCCUGGCAUGCCGGCCUUGCCUCUGCCCUUCGUGCUCAUGGGUUUGUGCCGUCCACUGCUGACACUUCAUUAUUUCUUCUACAGAAGCCAGAAGUCACUAUGUAUCUUUUGGUAUAUGUCGAUGAUAUUAUCCUUGUCAGCUCUUCUCAGUAUGCUGCUGAUGCUCUUGUCUGCUCUCUUGGUGCUGAUUUUGCGGUCAAAGAUCUUGGGAAGCUUCACUACUUUCUUGGAGUUGAGGUCACUUCUCGUGCUACUGGUCUUGUCCUUACGCAGAAGAAGUACUCCUUGGAGUUGUUACAAAAAGCCGACAUGCUGAAGUGCAAACCGACCACCACACCCAUGUCGUCUACCGACAAGAUAACAGCUGUUGAUGGUGAGCUUUUGUCUCCUGCGGAUGCCCAGAGUACAGAAGCAUUGUUGGUGGACUUCAGUACUUGA